AGACUGCGUUUGAAACUGUAUAUCUUGAGAGCAGCAGAGGAAGGCGGAAUUCCUGGUGUAGUGGUGAAAUACGUAGAUAUCAGGAAGAACACCAGUGGCGAAGGCGGUCUUCUGGGCUGCAUCUGACGCUCAUGUACGAAAGCUGGGGUAGCGAACGGGAUUAGAUACCCCGGUAGUCCCAGCUGUAAACGAUGGACACUAGGUGUUGGCGGUUCGAAUCCGUCAGUGCCGGAGUUAACGCAUUAAGUGUCCCGCCUGGGGAAUACGGUCGCAAGACUGAAACUCAAAGGAAUUGACGGGGGCCCGCACAAGCGGUGGAGCAUGUGGUUUAAUUCGAUGCAACGCGAAGAACCUUACCGAGAAUUGACAUCCCGUGACUACCUGUGAGAGCAGG
rnacentral:rRNA from 1 species